rnacentral:rRNA from 1 species
UACAGAGGGUGCGAGCGUUGUCCGGAAUCACUGGGCGUAAAGGGCGCGUAGGCGGCUUUUCAAGCGUGCGGUGAAAGCUCGGGGCUUAACUCCGAGUCUGCCGUGCGAACUGGGAGGCUUGAGUCUGGUAGAGGUCGAUGGAAUUCCGGGUGUAGCGGUGGAAUGCGUAGAGAUCCGGAAGAACACCGGUGGCGAAGGGGGUCGACUGGGCCAGUACUGACGCUGAGGCGCGACAGCGUGGGGAGCAAACAGG